rnacentral:rRNA from 1 species
GAUGAACGCUGGCGGCGUGCCUAACACAUGCAAGUCGAACGGAGAUUACGGACGGAAGUUUUCGGAUGGACGCCCGGAAUUCUUAGUGGCGGACGGGUGAGCAACGCGUGGGCAACCUGCCCUAUACAGGGGGAUAGCAGCCGGAAACGGCCGGUAAGACCGCAUAAGUCGGUUAAAUCGCAUGAUUUGAUCGGGAAAUGAGCAAUCAGGUAUAGGAUGGGCCCGCGUCAGUUUAGCCAGUUGGCAGGGUAAAAGCCUACCAAGGCGACGAUCGGUAGCCGGGCUGGGAGGUCGGCCGGCCACAUUGGGAAUGCGACCCGGCCCACUCUCCUACGGGACGCAGCAGUGGGUGAUGUUACGCAAUGGAGGCUACUCUGAUGCCGCGGCGCCGCGUGAGUGAAGAAGUAUUUCGGUAUGUACAGCUCUAUCGGCAGGGAAGAUGAUGACGGUACCUGACUAAGAAGCCCCGGCUAACUACGUG